GGGCCAGUCACGGCGCCCCCUCUCGGCAGGGCCUGGCGGACGACGGGGAGGAGGCGUACGCCAGGGCUGUGAGCCGGACUCCUCCGCUCGUCCCCUCGCUGCAGAUCGAGCAGCCCGACUCGGACUCGGAGCUCCUGGACCAGGUGCUGGAGGAGUGCGAGGAAGACGGUCCCCGACUCCUGCCCACCGCCGCGCCCCGCCGGCCUCUGUGCCGCGGCUCCGGAGACUGCUACUCCCGCCCGGCAGAGGGCGGCGGCGAGGAGAUCGGGGGGCAGCGGGAAGCGGCGGAGGGUUUCUUAACAAGAUCUACACCAGGGAGCAAUAACUUUGCCAAUCAGUAAGUUAUCGUGAAUCAAAUAACCGGGAGUGGAGACAACAUCAGUGUGCUCCUUUGCAGAAAUGAAGAAGAGCUUUCAUUCCUGUGCUUUCAUCAGUUGCUCAACAUGGUUCAGUUGCCUCUCAAGAAGCCAGAGAGACAGGCCAAGAUAUCCUAUGACUGCUCUGAAGAGGAGCUGAUGGCAACAAUAGAGCAAGAAUACUGUCGCUGAAGCCACUCACAGCUAUACCAAUAUGACCAUAAACAAAUUUACCUAGGGGCUAGGUUAUAAAACUAGUGUUUCUGAGAAAAAGUCUACUAGCAUGGCAUGCAGAAAGACAACUCAGAACCCUGACCAGAGUGAUACAACUACAGGAAACUGUCUUAUCUGAACAUUUUCUAUGGAGCCAAAUGAGAAUCUGUUCUUUAUGGGAAAAGAAAAAAAUUAUACACAAAUGUUCAUCUUCACCUAAAGCUUGAGGUGUGAAGUAGUGAAAGAGCAAUCAUUUGUCCACAUUUUAAUGAAACUAAAGUAAACUUUGGGUGGUCUUACUGCAUAGGGUCUUACUGCGGAAUAUUAAUAAUAAUAGUAAUAAUACUACCAAUAAAUCUGUAAGACCUUAAUUACUCCUGCACCCGAAGUUUUGGGUCACAUGGCCCAUCUUUACCAUACUGGUUAAUGCCACAGUGCCUAAAUAGAAGUAUCCUUGAGAAAAUCUCAGGAUGGCAAUAAUUAUUUUGCCUGAGAUUACUCCUGUGUGAUCACUUUAGAUUAGUGGCCAACAAACUCUGCUGGUCACUUGCAGAGAAUCGCAUAGGCUGAAGUACCUCUUACAGAUAAUAUGUGACAAAAAUGUUCCUUCUAAAUCACAUUCCUAUCAGAUGUCUGCAUGCAAAAUGGAAGCAUGAAGUUAACAAAAAGGUUCUGUUCCUAAAGAUGUUAGUGGUGCAGUGUGCUUUGUGUAUCUUAGUAGAUGCAAAGAGCACCAGAGGGGCUGAUGUGCUGUAGUCACUUUGCCUAGUUAUCUCUCUGUGAAUCUCAUCUCAGACUCAAUGAUUUGGAAGGGCCAUUUAAGAUCUCUAGCUCAAUUCUCUGCUUAGUGUAAAAUAAUAGCAAAUAGCUAUCUAAUCUGUUUGAUUGGAAGAAGCUCACCACCUCUCUGUCCAAAGGUACAGUGCAAAAUUGACUAUUGUACUUGCAUCAUUCGAGGAGUUGCUGACAUGCAAUGUGCUUGCUCACACAUGCUCCAAAGCACCUUUGUUUCCUUGGAAUCAAACACAAAUUAUUCUGUUUCCCCUUUUUAGACUUUUAAUUAUAUUUUUAACAUUAUUCUCUUGAUUUCUUUUUGUUUCCGCAUCGGUCUUAUGAAGGUAUAUCUACCCUUUGGAGGAAAAAGAAGAAAUCUGUCAACAUUCAUGCUGGCAGGAUUCUGAAACAUUUCAGCAAGAUCAGAAUAUAAAUGUUGGAAAUAUUAGCAUAUACUUUAAAUGGUUCCUGCUCAUGUAUUGCUGAUGGACUGAGUUAAUACUCAGAUAAUAUAAUAAGACUUUAACAGUGGAGAGUAGUUAUGUUGUUUCAGGUUUGUAAAAUGUACUAUGUAGCUUUCAUGUUCAAAUAUAAGAAAAAAUGUCUAUUAAUACAAUAGUAUUAUUAUUAUACAAUUAUUUAUAUAAUGGUAUCUUUCCAGGAAGUUCAAUCUGUUAGGGUUGUUGUGCUGUGGAUUCCAUUGAUUAAAAAAUAUCAUCUUUCAGAA